GGGCCCGGCGGGCGAGUGUCGGGGGCGCGCGGGCCGGGCGCUGAGGGGGUCUCCGCCUGUAGCAUGCUGCUCCUGCGGCAGCUGCACGAGGCGGCCCUGAGGCGGCUGCUCGCGCCCGCCGGGGGCGCCGCCGCCAAGCCCAAGGCCUCCGAGGUGCUGAGCCGCCACCUGCGGCAGCGGGGCCUGCCCCACUGGACCUCGUACUGCGUGAAGUACAGCGCCGUGCGCAACGACCAGUUCGGCCUCUCGCACUUCAACUGGCAGGUGGACGGCGCCAACUACCACGUCCUGCGCACGGGCUGCUUCCCCUUCAUCAAGUACCACUGCUCGCGGGCCCCGCGCCGCGACCUGGCGCUGCAGAACGCCGCCUUCACCGCCCUCAAGCUCCUCAACGCGGGCAUCCCGACUUUAUUAUAUGGAAUUGGCUCCUGGUUUCUUGUUAGUGUCACAGAGACUGUUCACACAAGUUGUGGCCCAGUUACUAUUUAUUUUCUGAAUAAAGAAGAUGAAGGUGCCAUGUACUGAAAUUGUGCAUUCAAGCACUCAUUUGGGAUCGCCUAACCCUUUUUAACCUGGAUUUGCCAGAAAAAUUUCAAAUUGGAAAUAAGGCAUACAUUUGUAACCACAGGAACAAACUACUGAGAGAAGUGGUGGAGUCUCCAUCUCUUGAUGUCCUCAAACCAAGACAGGAUGCCUUUCUGGAAGAUAUGCUUUAGCUAAAUGCAGGAUCUGCUUUAGGCACACAUGAGUUAUGGGGCUCAAUUCAGUGGUAAAUGGGUGAAAUUUAACAGCCUGUGGCAUUACAGGAGGUCACACGAAAUGAUCUAGUGGUCCCUUCUGGCCUUAAGCUAUAUGAAAUGAAAAACUUGAAGAUAAAAUAAAAAUAAAUAAAUUAAAACUAAUGAUGACAAGCCCACAGAGAGUUAGUGGCAACACCACAAUUAGAAAUCAGUAGUCCCUAGCUCCAGCCAGUCACUUGCUUAGUUCUCUAGGCCAUGCUGCCUCUAAAUAUGAAAAAGAGCAAGCCAUUUAAAAGACUAAAUUUAACAAAACCCACAUGCAGCUAUACUGUAUCCCCUGGCUUACUUAGAUUUCUUGCUUGUGGACCUAUGUCUUGAACCAACUUGGCUUCAUUCUCCUUGGGUUCCUACAUUAUUUUACUUGGCCAUGUAGGGUAAAUUGUUUACUGUAACAUGCCUUAAUCUUCCUCUAUAAUCUUGCUAGCUAUAGAAACAUAAGAUAAUAGAACUCAAUCUAAAAUCAGUGCAUUUCUCAAACCAUACAUUUGUACAGAAGUACUUAGCUGUACACACCUUUUGGGCAUUAUCAUUCAAUUUAAAUCAACUUGAUAACUACAGCAAAGUGGACUUUGAGAGACAGUAAUGGCAUCUUAAUGUAGGGAUUAAAAAAAAUUCCUUUAAAUAAAACCUGUAAUACGUGUACAGUACAACCUCACUAAUUUUCAUUAAUGAUUAGGAUACUCAUUGCAAAUUUGACCCUUGUGAAUUAGUAUGUUGAAAAAAUGCAGCUUAAAUAAGUUAGGAUAAUGCAUCAUAAAAUGUACAUUGCUCCUUAGACAAGUGUUGUUUAGUCUUAAUUAUUUAUGCUAAUACUAGUCAAUGCACUGUGGUAUAGUUUAUAAAAUAUUAAGUCUUUGUAUAGCAAAUAGCUAUUAAACGUCUGCUGAGAAGUUGGGUAAAACCCAUGAUUUUUGUACAUGUUCAAAUUAUAAACCAUGCAGAUACGCAAAGUCUGAAUGAGGAAAUUGUUGCAUGGAACACAAAUGUGUAUCUAUUCAGCAUUUAAAAAUGUGAAGAAGCUAUUAAGAUUUUGAAAUGAUGGAAUACUUUGCAUUGUAAAGUCAGCCAGUUUGGAAUCAUUAUUUGUUUGGUAAGGUAGAAUAUGUAUGGCUAAGAGUUAUUUUUAAAAUGAUUGCAUCACUUUAAGCACAGUUUAUGAGCACUGUACUAGUUCAUUAUAAAACCCAGUUUAUUACUUUCAGUGAUAUUAAUAAUCCCAAUAGAAUCAAUCUAUAAAACAUGAUGCAAAGCGGUUCUUUACACAAGUAGUCUGAUCAGGGAACUCUUUCAAUUUUAAAAUGCAAAUUUAAAAACACAACACUUCCUAAAGAACUCUUUAAAUUGACUUUAUAACAUAUAUAAUUUUAUCCAAAAAAACUCAAUGUGUUGUAGUUAAUCCAAAUAUAUAAAUCUAUUGGAAUUAUUUUUAUAAUAAGCAAUGCCAUUUGAUAUGAUCUGUAUAUGCUUAGUGAUUCAUGGGUCUUGUUACAUACAUGCUUUGUAAUGUAUGAAUUAUUUAGUAAGAAAAAUCACAAUGAUUUUGUUGUUACUCAAAAAUUUAUAGGUUGGCAGAAACAAUUAUGCAGCCCCUGAAGCUGGUCUGGUAAGUUUUUAAAACUUAACAGAAGAUGAAUCAUCAUUGAAACGUGCACAGGGACUUCAGGUAAAAGAUUCAUUUUAACAUAAAUGAAGUUCAUGUGGGAAAUAGCAGUUCCUGAGAUAUUCCUGACAUGGGACUAUAUUAAAUUUCUACUGUAGCAGUUAAAUUAUAAAGUUAUUGAACAGAGAGAGAACUUAUCUCUGCUAAUGGCCAAAGAUGAUUUUUUUUCAGAAAGCCCAGACAACAUCAAAUCCUAAUAACAGGGAGCUGGAGUAUGGUGACCAGAUGUCCUGAUUUUAUAGGGACCAUCCCGAUAUUCAGGGAUUUGCUUUAUAAAGGUACCUAUUACCUCCCACCCCCAUUCCAAUUUUUCACACUUGCUAUCUGGUUACCCUAAG